rnacentral:rRNA from 1 species
AUUGAACGCUGGCGGCAGGCCUAACACAUGCAAGUCGAGCGAGCGGCGGACGGGUGAGUAUUGUAUGGGGACUGUCCGAUAGAGGGGGAUAACUUUUGGAAACGGUGGAUAAUAGCGCAUACUAUCGGAUAACCCAUAUGGGAUUAGCUAGUAGGGGGGGUAAAGGCGCACCUAGGCGACGAUCUCUAGCUGGUCUGAGAGGAUGAUUGGCCAUUCUGCGGUGGUGACACGGCCCAGACUCCUGCGGAGGCAGUAGUGGGGAAUAAUGCACAAUGGGCGCAAGCCGGUAGCAGCCAUGCCGCAUGUAUGAAGAAGGCCUUAGGGUUGUAAAGUCCUUUCAGCGGGACAGCGUUACCCGCAGAAGAAGCACCGGCUAACUCCGUGCCAGCAGCCGCGGUAAUAC